GUGCAUGAGUUUCGUCUCUCGAGAGGACUUUCGGCCGCCGAACCUGCCGCCGAAAGUGUUCUGUCCAGCCUUCUCUUGCAUGCUUUGCAUGGAUGUUUGAGUGAGUUUAAGGGAAUUCUUGGGGAGUUUAAUAGAGUUGUUCCCCUCAUUUGAGUUUAUCUGUGCCUACACAGACCAGAGGAACCAGAGAGAGCAGCAGUGAGUACUGCUCCAGAGUCGAGCCUGCAGAGUCAGUCCAGAUAGCCAGAGGUGAAUGGAACUAAACUUAAUUCUUUUAAUUGAGAAAUGGAAUGUUUUUUAGCAUAUAUCAUGCAUCAUUGUUAUGCAGUAGGUUGAUUGCAUUAGAAUCCACGAAUAUGUUGCAUUGCAUAGUUAUUUGUUGAUGUGGGUGAAUGCUGAAUGAUACAAUAGUCUCUGAGAGAAGUCCAGGAGCCUUUGACUACGCCCUGGCAAAUAUAGAGAAGUCCAGGAGCCUUUGACUACGCCCUGGCAAGUAUAGUAAAGUCCAGGAGCCUUUGACUACGCCCUGGCAAUGGUAAGUCCAUAAGUGUUAUAUACACAUAUACAUAUAUAACAGGAAGACCAGGUGCUCGAUUCUACGCCCUGGCACGGCAGAGUUACCGGGACUAUGUGCUGACAGGUUUACCUUUGAUGUGGAUUGGCUGUGUUAUGAUGCAUUCCAUUAUAUCAUGUUUUAAUGAUAUGUUUUACUGUUCUACUCACUGGGCUAUAGAGCUCAUCCCACUCCCUUAACCCUAGUUUUGCAGGUUCAGUGUACAGUGUACAGGGAAAGUCCAGCAGAGUACAGGAAGAGAGAAGAGUUUUGUAAUAGAAUUUUGUGGACAUGUAAAUUUAAAGAGAUGUAACAGUUGUGUAUAAAGUUAGAAUUGUGCUUGACUUAGUUAUUUUUGUGUUGGAAAUCUGUUGUAUACAUGGUCUAUUAUUAUAUAACUGUUUUACAGAGUAUGUGAAAAACCAGGCUUAACAGGUAUGAAUCAACCCAGCUAGAGCAAGCUCUAAUCAGGGGUACAGAGUACAGAGAUAGUGCAUGCACAGGUUAAGCCUUGGUCCAGAGAAAAGUUUUUAUUUUCACAGAAAAUGUAUGAUCAUGUAUAAUUGUUUACAGGUAUUCAGAGAGUAUAGCAGGCUUGCUACGGGUUCUGGCGGCCUUAAGCCGAUCUGAAUCCUAGCGCCGGUGACGGUCCAUUUUGGGGUCAUUACAGAUUGGUAUCAGAGGCCUAGGUUCACAUGGUCGGACCUAUAGAGAGAGUGUCGGGCUCAUAGAGGCUAGAGGUAGUCAAGCACAAUAGGAAAUCAUGUCCACUAGGAUAGGGUGUUGAGUCCUAUCUGUUUCAUGUUAUGAAAUGCCAUGAGUUAUGUAUGUGCAUUAUUGAUAUGUGAUGUUUGUGUUAAAGUGCUAUAUUAUGUGUUGUUUUCCAGAGUUAAGAUGAGAGGAACUCGUCGAUCAGCUCGAUUGACUAGAGUCCCACCAGAUAGUGAGAGACCAGCUGCUCGUCCUCCUGCAUUGCCAAGGGCAAGGUCUCAGAGAUCUAGCAGGGAAGGUGCGUCAAUAGACCCUAGAAGGUCUGUAGACUAGAGCAGAAGAGGUACAGUAAGAGGAGAAAGAUCAGAAGAAGUGAGAGAGGCUAUGGAGAUUGAGCAGUCUAGAGAUGAAAGUAUGGGCAUGGGUAGAUCUGAAGAAGGUGUGGGAGAAUCCCAGGGAGGCGCUCAGGCCUCAGGUUUUGGCUAUCCAGCUUUUUCCCAAGAUCUAGAGUAUCCAAUGGAAGGUAUGUCGGAGUACUCUCGUUUUGUCCCAUAUCCUACAUACAUGCCAUAUAUGCCUUAUCCUCCUUAUUACCCACCAUAUCCGAUGUAUCCACCCUCCCCUAUCCAUCCAAGUGCAGCACACCCAGAGCCAAAUGAACCACCACCACCAGAACCAGUAGCUCUCGUAGUCCAAAUACAGCAGCCUAGCUCAUCUGGGGGGAAGUAAGGUGAAAAUGACAGAGUACUUGAAAUUGGAUGCGCCUAAAUACAACACGGGAGAUGAUUCAUUUGAAUACCUCAGAUCAGUUAGGAUGAUAACCAGUGAGUUGGGAGCUGAUGAUAGUAGGGCCAUUGAGAUGGCGGGGUUCACAUUAAAAUGCAAGAAGGCCAGAGAAUGGUUCAAGAAUUAUGUGGAACCCAGGAUGAACAGUAUGUUAUGGGGAGAGUUCGCCAAUGAAUUUGCAGGGUGGGCUUUUCCUGACAGUUCCAGGGAGAUGAAAGUAAUAGAGUUCGAACAGUUGCGACAAAUAGAUGAGAUGAGUGUUGAUGAAUUCACAGAUAAGUUCCUGGAUUUGCUUCAGUAUGUGGAUCAAGCCUAUGAGACUGAUCAGAAGAAGGCAAGGAGAUAUACUAUGAGACUGCAUCCCAGGUAUUCUUCCUUGAUUCUUCCAGCAGAGAAGGAGAGUUUCCACUCUAUAGUAGAUGCAGCCAGGAAAAUGGAAGCUAGUGCCAAUAUUCGAAAACAGUCAAAGGCACAGGCUUCGGGUUCUAAGGCCCCCAGUUCAGCAACCUCAGGCAGCAAGAGAUGGGAUAGAGCAAAAGGGUUAAAGAAUAAGUUCUGGAAUAAAGCCAAGUCUAAUCUGGGAAUAGGUAGUGGUUCAAGCUCUGGCACAGCUUAUCCAGUAUGCAGAAGAUGCGGAAGACCACAUGGAGGAGCUUGUCGGUUGGGAUCUACAGCUUGUUAUAGAUGUGGACAGGAAGGGCAUAUUGCUCGGGAUUGUCCUCAGAUGACUUUUGUGGCACCAUCCUAGCAUAUGAGUUCAGGCAGUGUGGUACAGCCAGUCGUACAGCCAGCAGCUCCAGUCAUGCCUCAGAGUAGUGGCAGAGGUAGAGGGAGAGGGGCAGCCUCUACUUCAGCAGCAGGUUCCCGAGAUAGAAAUCCGGUAGCCCCAGCACGGAUUUUCACUGUGACACAGGAGGAGGCGAACACGUCGAACACAGUGGUGUCAGGUAAUCUCAUCAUUGGGUGUUCAGAUGUGUAUGCUUUGAUGGACCCCGAUGCUUCUCAUUCCUUUAUUGCUUCGAGAGCCAUAGAGAGAUUGGGUUUGAUCAGUUUUGAGUUAGAGUAUCCUCUCUGGGUCAGUGGACCCAAGUGUGACCCAUCAGUGGCAGUGUCAGUCUGUCGUUUCAGUCCAGUGUUCAUAGAGGGUAGAUGCCUUCCAGCUGACCUUGUGGUUCUAGACUUGACAGAUUUUGAUGUCAUUCUAGGGAUGGAUUGGCUAUCUGCAUAUAGUGCUACUUUGGACUGUAGAGAGAAGAUAGUUAGCCUCAGAGACCAGGAUGGGUCAGAGUGUGUCUUCAGAGGAGACAGGAGAGGUACACCCAGAGGUUUGAUUUCAGCCCUUCAGGCUCGUCGUUUGCUUAGGAGGGGUUGUCAGGGGUUUCUAGCUCAUGUGAGAGAGCUAGACAGAUAGGUUAGGGAACCAGUUUCGCUACCAGUAGUCCGAGAGUUUCCAGAUGUUUUCCCAGAUGAACUUCCAGGACUACCGCCUGGUAGGGAGAUAGAGUUUGAGAUAGAAUUGCUGCCUGGUACCAGACCUAUUUCUAUUCCUCCCUACAGGAUGGCACCAGCAGAGUUAAAAGAGUUAAAAGAGCAGUUGCAGGAAUUGGUAGAGAAGGGUUUCAUCCGCCCUAGUACCUCACCUUGGGGUGCUCCAGUGCUCUUUGUCAGAAAGAAGGAUGGAUCCCUCAGACUUUGUAUCGACUACAGACAGUUGAACAAGGUCACUACCAAGAAUAGGUAUCCUCUACCCAGGAUUGAUGAUCUAUUUGACCAGCUAGCUGGAGCAGGUUGUUUCUCUAAAAUAGAUCUGAGAUCCGGGUAUCAUCAGUUGAGAGUCAGAGAAGCCGAUGUGCCAAAGACAGCUUUCAGGACCAGAUAUGGGCAUUAUAAGUUCUUAGUGAUGCCGUUCGGGUUGACUAACGCCCCUGCAGCAUUCAUGGAUCUCAUGAACAGAGUUUUCAGCGAGUAUCUGGAUCACUUUGUUAUUGUUUUCAUUGAUGAUAUCUUAGUGUAUUCUAGAGAUGCAGAGGAGCAUGUCCAGCAUCUGAGGAUAGUUCUGCAGACACUGAGAGAGCAUGGUUUGUAUGCCAAGUUCUCUAAGUGUGAGUUUUGGUUAAGGAGCAUUUCCUUCUUGGGACAUGUAGUAUCAGCAGAAGGGAUUGAGGUAAUCCUAAGAAGAUAGAGACUGUAGCUAACUGGCCCAGACCCACUACAGUGACUGAGAUUAAAAGCUUUCUGGGACUGGCCGGUUACUACAGGAGGUUCGUUCAGGACUUCUCAAAGAUAGCAGCUCCUAUGACCAAACUGACUCAGAAGAACCAGAAGUUUGUCUGGUCAGACCAGUGCGAGGAGAGCUUUGAGGUGCUCAAGAGGAGAUUGACAACAGCACCAGUGUUAGCUCUACCUGUCAGUAAUGAUGAUUUCACAGUGUACUGUGAUGCGUCUCGAGUGGGAUUGGGUUGUGUUUUGAUGCAGCAGGAUAGGGUGAUUGCAUAUGCUUCUAGACAGUUGAAGAAGCACGAGUUGAAUUACCCCACCCAUGACCUAGAGAUGGCAGCAGUUAUUUUUGCACUCAAGAUGUGGCGGCAUUACCUCUAUGGGGUUAAAUGCGAGAUCUUCACCGAUCAUAAGAUCAUAAGAGUUUACAGUACAUCUUGAGUCAGAGAACUGAAUUUGAGGCAGAGAAGAUGGGUAGAAUUGCUCAGUGAUUAUGAUUGUAAAAUCCAGUAUCAUCCGGGUAAGGCGAAUGUUGUGGCAGACGCCCUAAGCCGGAAGUCACUAGGCAGUUUAUCCCAUAUAGCAGCAGAGCGGAGACCAGUCGUGAUGGAGCUUUACAAGCUCUUAGAAGAGGGGUUACAACUAGAGUUGUCUGGUACAGGUGCGUUGAUAGCACAGAUGAGAGUGAUACCUGUGUUUCUGGAGCAGAUAGCUCAUAAACAGCACGAGGACCUAGAGUUGAUGAAAAUUGCCAGGACUGUGCAGUCAGGCAACAGUGCAGAGUUCAGAUUUGACAGCAAAGGGAUCCUCCGUUAUGGGAGUCGACUUUGUGUACCAGAUAGGAGCAGUGUGAAGGAAGACAUUAUGAGGGAAGCUCAUAAUGCGAGGUAUAGUGUUCACCCAGGAGCCACCAAGAUGUACCAGGAUCUGAAAAGGGUCUAUUGGUGGCGAGCCAUGAAGAAAGAAGUGGCGCAGUUUGUGACAGCCUGUGAGGUUUGCCAGAGGGUGAAACUAGAGCAUCAGAAACCAGCUGGAAUACUUAACCCACUGUCGAUUCCAGAGUGGAAAUGGGAGAACAUAGCUAUGGAUUUUGUAGUGGGUUUACCAGCAUCGUCCAACAGGAUAGACUCUAUAUGGGUGAUUGUGGACAGACUCACGAAAUCUGCUCAUUUUCUUCCAGUUCGGAGUAACUAUUCUGUGGAUAAGUUGGCACAGGUCUAUCUAGAUGAGAUAGUGAGAUUACAUUGAGUUCCAGUGUCUAUAGUCUCAGACAGAGGACCUCAGUUUACCUCCAGAUUUUUGCGAAGUCUGCAGAGUGCGAUGGGCAUGAGGUUGGAUUUUAGCACUGCUUUCCAUCCACAGACUGAUGGACAGUCAGAGAGGACCAUCCAGACCAUAGAGGAUAUGCUUCGAUUGUGUGUGUUAGACUUUGGCGGUUCUUGGAGGCAGCAUCUACCUUUGGUGGAGUUUGCCUACAAUAACAGCCAUCAUGCUAGCAUAGGGAUGGCUCAUUAUGAAGCUUUGUAUGGGAGGAAGUGCAGAUCCCCUGUUUGCUGGGAAGAAAUAGGAGAGAAGGCUCUUGCAGGGCCAGAGUUAGUAGAGAUUACCAGUAGAGUGGUGCCCAUAAUCAGAGAGAGAAUCAGAACAGCUCAGAGCAGACAGAAAAGUUAUGCAGACGUUCGCAGGAAGCAGUUAGAGUUUCAGGAGGGUAAUAUGGUAUUACUGAAGGUGUCUCCAAUGAAAGGAGUGGUUCAUUUUGGAAGAAAAGGUAAGUUAGCUCCACGAUACAUUGGACCCUUUGAGAUCUUGCAGAGGAUCGGGAAUGUGUCGUAUAAGCUGGAUUUACCUGCUUCUAUGGAGAGAAUUCACCCGGUAUUUCAUGUUUCUAUGCUACGGCAGUUUGUGUCAGAUCCGAGUCAGGUUCUGAGUGAGCCUGAUGUGGAGAUUCUGAGAGAUCUCACCUAAAUAGAGCAGCCAGUAUGGAUUCUAGACACGCAGAUCAGGCAGCUAAGGAACAAGAAAAUUCCAAUGGUGAAAGUUCUGUGGAACCACCAUAAUCUAGAAGAAUGCACCUGGGAGACGCGGGAGUCUAUGCUUCAGCAGUAUCCAUAUUUGUUUUGAGGUUAGUUUCCUCUUUUUUAUGUGUUAGUUAUUUGUUUUCGGAACAUUCGAGGACGAAUGUUCUUAAGGGGGGAGAAUGUAACACCCGGCUAGAGUCCGGCAUCGGAAUUCUACUUUCCGAUGGAGUUUCGGAUGCCGAAAGUCUCUAGAAGGGUUAGAUUUAUGUUUUUCUAAAAUGUUUUGGUAUGUUUCAUAGUUUUAAAGCAUAAGGAAAUGAGUUUUUGAGUGAAAUGAACCAAGGCAGAAAAGCCAGGUUCGGCCGCCGAAGUUGAGGUUCGGCCGCCGAACAUGCAUGGCUUUCGGUUUCACGUGUGGCCGCCGAAGGUGGUCUGGCCAGCCACCUAUGAAAGGCCCUCAGUCGGUUGAAACGAUAAGAUCACCGUUUCUUUGACUUGCUGAUGUGAGACCCUGUUCUUUUUAGAGUUUUCUUCAUGUUUUCAUUAAAUCAUGCAAAGAUUUGAUUGAUUUUUAUGUUUAUUUGAAGGUUUUGAGUUAGAAACUUGAAUUUUGAAGUUUGGAGAGUUUGAAGGAGAGUUGCUCCAAAACUCCACGUUAGGAUCGUUCAUCUUCUUGGUUUCAAGAGGUAAGUGAAGAUCCUGAGCUUGGUUUCAUGAUUUAUGAAAGAUUUUUGAGGUUUUGGGGGAGAGUUGCAUGAAUAGGGUUAAAGGAGAGUUUUUUAUCUUUUUGUGAGAAAAGUUUGUUUGUGUGUUAUGUGUUUGUGUUGUUGGGGUUUUUAGGCAGUUUCUGACCCCUUUGAGCAUAUACUUGGGUGUAUGCAAGUUGAGUGUUUGAGUUUGAGAGAGUUUUGUGCUUUUGGUGAGAGGCAGAGCAAGUUUCUGCCUUGCGGAUGAACUCAGGUUCGGCCGCCGAAGGUACAUUCAGCCGCCGAACCCAUGAGGAGGUGGCUUCGGCUGCCCAAGCUUGCCUCCGAGCUUUUGGACUUUCGGCUCUGGAGGGGAGUUCGGCCGCCGAAGGUUAGAGACUUUCGUCUCUGGAGUGCCUUUUCGCCUCCGAAACUUGCCCCCGAAAGGGUUCGGCUGCCGAAAGUAGAGCUUCGGCCGCCGAAGGUGCAUGAGUUUCGUCUCUCGAGAGGACUUUCGGCCGCCGAACCUGCCGCCGAAAGUGUUCUGUCCAGCCUUCUCUUGCAUGCUUUGCAUGGAUGUUUGAGUGAGUUUAAGGGAAUUCUUGGGGAGUUUAAUAGAGUUGUUCCCCUCAUUUGAGUUUAUCUGUGCCUACACAGAUCAGAGGAACCAGAGAGAGCAGCAGUGAGUACUGCUCCAGAGUCGAGCCUGCAGAGUCAGUCCAGAUAGCCAGAGGUGAGUGGAACUAAACUUAAUUCUUUUAAUUGAGAAAUGGAAUGUUUUUUAGCAUAUAUCAUGCAUCAUUGUUA
rnacentral:lncRNA from 1 species